AAAAGAACUUUGAAGAGAGAGUUCAAGAGUACGUGAAACCGUUCAGGGGUAAACCUGAGAAACCCAAAAGAUCGAAUGGGGAGAUUCAUCGUCAGCGGCUCUGGCUUCCGUGCGGCUCGCGAUGGCAGGGACCUCGGUCUCGCGUCACGCGUCCGCUGCGGUAUGUCCUGGUGCCGUCGGCGUGCACUUCUCCCCUAGUAGGACGUCGCGACCCGUUGGGUGUCGGCCUACGGCCCGGU
rnacentral:rRNA from 1 species